UUUGCGCUCCUCGAGUAGAACCAUCACAAAUUGUGGUACCGUCGCCAUCUUCUGGCGGCCAUGCAGAUAUAAUCCAGAAGCUGGAUGCCAUUGAGACCCGACUCACUGCCAUUAAAAAGUCCCUAACAGACAAAAUGCCAGAAAAGGCCGAGGUGCAGACACAAAGCAAAUUAUUGCGCGAAUGCCGCGUCAUAGCGGCAAAGAUGCAUCAUUCGAUUAUCCGCAUCACCCGUGGCUUGGAGGACGAACAAUACGUGGAGCUCGCUUCGAAACUGCCUAU